CAGCGCCACGAGUGGGAACUACAAUUAUUGGGCCUAAAGCGUCCGUAGCCUGUUUGAUAAAUUUCUUGUGAAACUGUUAAGCUCAACUUAACAACGUGCAGGAAAGACUGUUAAACUUGGGACUGGGAGGGGUUAGAAGUAUCUUUAGGGUAACGGUAAAAUGUUAUAAUCCUAAAGAGACUACCUAUGGCGAAGGCAUCUAACCAGAACAGGUCCGACGGUGAGGGACGAAAGCUAGGGGAGCAAACCGGAUUAGAUACCCGAGUAGUCC
rnacentral:rRNA from 1 species